rnacentral:rRNA from 1 species
UACGGAGGGUGCGAGCGUUGUCCGGAAUCACUGGGCGUAAAGGGCGCGUAGGCGGCCCGGUAAGUAGGGGGUGAAAUCUUGCGGCUUAACCGCAAGGCUGCCUCCUAAACUGCCAGGCUUGAGCACAGUAGAGGCAGGUGGAAUUCCCGGUGUAGCGGUGGAAUGCGUAGAGAUCGGGAAGAACAUCGGUGGCGAAGGCGGCCUGCUGGGCUGUUGCUGACGCUGAGGCGCGACAGCGUGGGGAGCAAACAGG